AUCCAGAUGACCAGUCCUAAAUAGGACGAAAUACGCGUUAUCCUGGAU
rnacentral:hammerhead_ribozyme from 1 species